rnacentral:lncRNA from 1 species
UACUGAAGCUAUUAAAAUGCAGAGUAUGAAGACCUAAAUUUUGAUCCCUAUCUAAUUCCCACAGCAGACCUUAAACCAGGAGAACUACCACUCCUUGAAGUUGGUAACUGGGUAGUCUUACCUGUUGAAAUGUCUAUCCACAUAUCAGUCUCAUCUGGAGACGUACUGCCCUCCUGAGCUCCCCCAUCUCUAGGCCUAAAAACGGAUUCAGAUCCAGGACUUUUAGAUAGAGCAGCUCUCACAUCGGCACAACCCGGCCUGGAGCACGGACAGUGCUUAGACAUU